GAGUGUAGUUCAAUGGUAGAAUUCCAGCCUUCCAAGCUGGUUGCGUGGGUUCGAUUCCCAUCACUC
rnacentral:tRNA from 2 species